AUUGAACGCUGGCGGCAGGCCUAACACAUGCAAGUCGAGCGGAGCGGCGGACGGGUGCGUAAUGCCUAGGAAUCUGACUGGUAGUGGGGGAUAACGUUCGGAAACGGGCGCUAAUACUGCAUCCUCUCAGAUGAGCCUAGGUGGGAUUAGCUAGUUGGUGGGGUAAAGGCCUACCAAGGCGACGAUCCGUAUCUGGUCUGAGAGGAUGAUCAGCCACACUGGAACUGAGACACGGUCCAGACUCCUACGGGAGGCAGCAGUGGGGAAUAUUGGACAAUGGGCGAAAGCCUGAUGCAGCCAUGCCGCGUGUGUGAAGAAGGUCUUCGGAUUGUAAAGCACUUUAAGUUGGGAGGCGUUACCAACAGAAUAAGCACCGGCUAACUUCGUGCCAGCCGCCGCGGUAAUAC
rnacentral:rRNA from 1 species